AAAAAAUUCAUUUCUUUCUCUCUUCUCUUCUUACUGCGAUUCGCGAGAAAACCUCUCCUUUCGUUCUCUUCUACAAUCCGCCAUGGGCAUGUCUUCUCCCCACUCUAGUUUAUCUAACUUUGCUGGUAAAUCCACAAUUGGAGGACAGAUUCUUUAUCUUAGCGGUCAGGUGGAUGACAACCUUAUGACAUCUCUUGCCUCCGUCAUAUAGCUCGACUUGUUUUUGAGCUUUGAAAUGGUACGUAUACUGCCUUUAAUUUCAACCUCACUUCUAUUUUUUUUAUUCAUUGAUCUUUUUGUUAUUAUGAUGAUCACAAUUCCAAAGUCUACUUAUUUGUUUAUGCAUUUUCUUCAAAAUUCUCCUAAAAUAAAAGUUGUUAGAAAUCGUUGUUUCACGGCCAUGGUUUUGUGGCCCUCUCUGGAUCUUGGGUGAUAUCUUCAUGGGACUAUAUCACACUGUGUUCGAUUACGGGAAAGCAAGAGUUGGAUUCGCCAAAACUGCUUAAACAUGAUCACUUCUUUAAUACCCUUUUUUAUAUGAUGUUUGUGAAUGUGUAUUUAGACAAAAUCUUAAAAUGGUUUGUAAUAAC